rnacentral:antisense_RNA from 1 species
GCCCAGGUGCUGGAGAGAGUGGCGGCAGCAGAUCAAACCCCAGAGCCCCUGCCCUGGGUGGGUGCCAGCUUCCCCGAGACAUUCCGUGCCUGUGACAUUACUGUGUGCAGAGAUGAACGAGACGGGAAAAGCCACUGCACCCUGAAGAACUACAAUAUGGUGGGGGAGGCAGAUGCCAAAUCAAUGACACAGAUACCUAUUUAA